AUUGAACGCUGGCGGCAGGCCUAACACAUGCAAGUCGAACGAGUGGCGGACGGGUGAGUAAUUUCUUGGAAACUGCCCGAUGGAGGGGUAUAACUACUGGAAACGGUAGCUAAUACCUCAUACCAUCUUAUGUGCCCAGAUGGGAUUAUCUAGGAGGUGGGGUAAAGGCUCACCUAGGCCACGAUCCCUAGCUGGUCUGAGAGGAUGACCAGCCACACUGGAACUGAGACACGGUCCAGACUCCUACGGGAGGCAGCAGUGGGGAAUAUUGCACAAUGGGCGCAAGCCUGAUGCAGCCAUGCCGCGUGUAUGAAGAAGGCCUUCGGGUUGUAAAGUACUUUCAGUGGGGAGGCGUUACCCGCAGAAGAAGCACCGGCUAACUCCGUGCCAGCAGCCGCGGUAAUAC
rnacentral:rRNA from 1 species